ACUUUAACAUCUGAAAUUCGUCAAGCAACAUGUUACUGUGCUUUAACAGCAAAUAAACAUAAAAGAAUUACAGCUUCAACUACUGAGGUAAUAUCGCACCAACCAACCUUCCAGAGCAGCUCACACUCUCUCUCUUCCAAUGCCUUCUUGUGUCUAGAUGUGACUGCUUUGAUCUCAGACUGCACCACUUUGGCUUUCAUCUCAACUUGUUCUGCUAAUGCUUGAGCUUGUUCUAGACUCAGCUGUAAAAUGAAAUGAGAUACAUUGAUACAAUUAAAAAGUGCAUCCUACUGUA